GAGGGCCACAAAGUCACCCUGCUUUUUGAAAGUUUUAAAAAUUAUUCACUCCAAUAUUUAGUUGGUUCACUGAUUCUAUAUCUGAAAUAUAUCUCAAACUCACUCUUCUUUACAAUCAAUCUGAGGUCAAAAAUUCAUGAUCUCUUAUCAGGGGAAAAAUCUAAAUUCUUAGCAUCACAGGAAGGGACUUAAUAAUUCAGCCAAAUUAAUGUUUCUUUUUAACCUUGAUUCUGCUACUUCUUACUUGCACACAGCCAUGUUCUGGGAAUAUUAAACAGAUACUUGUUUCUAGGACAUGUGUUUUCUGAUACCUGUUGUCCAAAACUCAUGGUGUGAUCUCCUUUUAGAAUAACCUUUCCUUUUUAUUAGUAUUUUUUUGAGCCAGAAAAACUCACACAGAGUCUUAAUUGACUAAAAUGACCUACGUACAACAGUUUAAUUUGUAUCUAAUCAUUUCCUAAUAGUUAGGAAUUAUAAAAGCUUGUUGUUUUGUAUGGCUUACUCUGCCAAUCAUUUCUGUUAAAUUUCUUUUAAGAUAUGUGGCUAUUA
rnacentral:lncRNA from 1 species